rnacentral:rRNA from 1 species
UACGGAGGGUGCAAGCGUUAUCCGGAUUCACUGGGUUUAAAGGGUGCGUAGGCGGGUGUGUAAGUCCGUGGUGAAAUCUCUGAGCUUAACUCGGAAACUGCCAUGGGUACUGCAUAUCUUGAAUGUUGUGGAGGUGAGCGGAAUAUGUCAUGUAGCGGUGAAAUGCUUAGAUAUGACAUAGAACACCGAUUGCGAAGGCAGCUCACUACACAAAUAUUGACGCUGAGGCACGAAAGCGUGGGGAUCAAACAGG